rnacentral:tRNA from 1 species
GUCACGAUAGCUCAAGUGGUCGAACAUCGGCGUGUUGAGCCGAAGGUCGUGGGUUCGAAUCCCGCUCGUGGCA